ensembl:lncRNA
GUAGGUGUCCAAACCUUUGACUGGAACUGUAUAUUGGGUGUAGUAGGGUGACUUAUUACGUUCUUUGAGCUGCCAUCCUAAAACUUCUGUAACGCUGUUAUUUUAUUGAGAUAGUCGAAUCCCAAAAUCAAUCCCUAGCCCCUAUUUAGGGGCUGGCAACCUUUACAACAAGAUUUUUUUUUUUCAAAAGUACACGAGAAACGAGAAUUGAAGGAGCCGUACAAGAAAUUGAUGAGCCCUUGUUUCGAGCAAUAACGGCCAUCGCUGAGAUUCAGCACCACGGACAGCAGCCCAUCAAAUCACCACAAAAUCAGACAUUCAGAACCACAGAACAUUGGACAGCAGCCGUCAGCAGAGCCAUAUUUGGCUGUUAGGGGAAGCUGCAACAAGUGGUAAUAUGUGUUUGUGUGUGCCGCUCCGUCUGGGGGAGAAGCUGGAGGUGUGGAUGGAGAGUUAUGAGAGAGACAUGGACGACAAGCAGCAGGAGAUCAACAACCUGGGGAACAACAAGGCUAACAAUCUCUUCCAGCUCUAGGAGCUGGCCAAGAAGGUGAGGACAGAUCGCCUGGGUCAAUUUCAUUAGGCACCAAACAGAGAAAAACUGACUGAAACAGGGAGGGUCCACCUGGACUUUUCUAAAAAGAAACGCUCAUUUGUUUUCCUUUGCAUAAUGUGUUUCUAUGGUGUGCCUGAAUGAAUACAGCCCUGGUCUGCAUGUUUUGCAACCCAUUGCUCUCUGGAGUAUACGGUUCAGGGCACUGACACUAGAGAAUAAAUAGCAUAGUAGGCCUAAUGUACACUAAGUAUACCAAACAUUAUGAACACCUUCCUAAUGUUGAGUUGCACGCACCCAAUGAUAUUGUAGACAAUCCUGUGCUUCCAACUUUGUGGCAACAAAUUGGGGAAGGUCCUUUCCUGUUUCAGCAUAACAAUGCCCCCAGGCACAAAGCGAGGUUCAUACAGAAAUGGUUUGUUGAGAUUGAUGUUGAAGAACUUGACUGGCCUGCACAGAGCCCUGACCUCAACCCUAUCCAAUACCUUUGGGAUGAAUUGGAAUGCAUUUCGCAACACUCGCAAUAACAUCUGCUAACUAUGUGUAUGUGACUAAUAAAAUUUGAUUUGAAUGCCGACUGUGAACCAUGCCUAAUCGCCCAACAUCCAUGCCCAACCUCACUAAUGCUCGUGGCUGAAUGGAAGCAAGUCCCCACGGCAAUGUUUCAACAUCUAGUGGAAAGCCUUCCCAGAAGAGUGGAGGCUGUUAAAAGCAGCAAAGGGGGAACAACUCCAUAUUAAUGACCAUGACCUUGGAAUGAGAUGUUCGAUGAGAAGGUGUCACAUACUUUUGGUCAAGUGUAUAUACCCAUUGAUUCUCUAAGAAUAACUUAUAAAUGUGCAUGACUUCAUUAACUCCAAUGUUUGUAAACAUUUUAAAUGUAAACAAACACUGUACAAAACAUGGUCAACUAUAUAAUUUUGAAAUCAUGGAUGGUCAGUCCUUGCAUACAUAGCCGUCUAUGAAUUUGAGAUUCGUUACUUCUCUCCAGCCCUAUCCUUCAGCUUCUUACUAAAACUGAAUGAAAACUGCCGCUUUAAGAAAGUAUACCUGUAUGGAACUGAAAUUGUACACUGGAUAUUGACUCUGAUCUUUCUCCUGUUCCAGUACAGAGACAGUGAGCAGGUGGUCAUCAAGGACAGGAUGGAGAAAGAGGCCCUACACAGGCAGCUGGAGAAGGAACACAUGGAGCGAGACGCAGCCACCAAGAUGACCGGCUUAUUGUUGCUACAGUUGAUGUCGGAGUAUGGAAGUAUGCUUGAGGUCAAAGUCCAUUUGGAAGAGCCAUUUGUGACCAAGCUUUAUCUUCCUGACUGAUGUCUUGGGAUGUUGCUUCAAUAUAUCCACAUACCUUUCCCACCUCAUGAUGCCAUCUAUUUUGUGAUGGUAAAACAAGUCCUAUAUCGACAUAACCUGAAAGGCUGCUCAGCAAGGAAGAAGCCACUGCUCCAAAAUCACCUUAAAAAAGCCUGCAUAUGGGGACAAAGAAUGUACUUUCUGGAGAAAUGUCCUCUGGUCUGAUGAAACAAAAAUGUAACUGUUUGGCCAUAAUGAACAUCAUUAUGUUUGCAGGAAAAAGGGGGAGGCUUGCAAGCCGAAGAACACCAUCCCAACCGUGAAGCACAGGGGUGGCAGCAUCAUGUUGUGGGGGUGCUUUGCUGCUAGAGGGACUGGUGCACUUCACAAAAUAGAUGACAUUAUGAUGCAGGGAAAUUAUGUGGAUAUAUUGAAGCAACAUCUCAAGACAUCAGUCAGGAAGUUAAAGCUUGGUCGCAAAUGGGUCUCCCAAAUGGACAAUGAUCCCAAGCAUACUUCCAAAGUUGUGGCAAAUGGCUUAAGGACAACAAAGUCAAGGUAUUGGAGUGGCCAUCACAAAGCCCUGACCUCAAUCCCAUAUAAAAUGUGGGCAGAACUGAAAAAGCGUGCGAGCAAGGAGGCCUACAAACCUGACUCAGUUAUGCGAGCUCUGUCAAGAGGAAUGGGCCACAAUUCACCCAACUUAUUGUGAGAAGCUUGUGGAAGGCUACC